GACGAACGCUGGCGGCGCGCUUAACACAUGCAAGUCGAGCGAUAACCAUGGCUUCGGCCAUGGGGAGAGCGGCGAACGGGUGAGUAACACGUGAGUGAUCUGCCCUCGACACCGGGAUAGGCCGGGGAAACCCGGAUUAAUACCGGAUGGCCUUCCGAGCCCACGGGCUCGUCAGAAAAGAUGGCUUCGGCUUUCGGUCGAGGAGGAACUUGCGGUGGAUUAGCUUGUUGGUGAGGUAACGGCUCACCAAGGCGACGAUCCGUAGCUGGUCUGAGAGGACGAUCAGCCACACUGGGACUAGGACACGGCCCAGACGCCUACGGGAGGCAGCAGUGGGGAAUCUUGCGCAAUGGGCGAAAGCCUGACGCAGCGACGCCGCGUGAGGGAAGAAGGCCUUCGGGUUGUAAACCUCUUUCAGGAGGGACGAAGCCACUCGGGUUAAUAGCCCAGAGGGUGACGGUACCUCCAGAAGAAGCCCCGGCUAACUACGUGCCAGCCGCCGCGGUAAUAC
rnacentral:rRNA from 1 species